rnacentral:rRNA from 1 species
GAUGAACGCUGGCGGCGUGCUUAACACAUGCAAGUCGAACGAAGCACUUUAUUUGAUUUCCUUCGGGACUGAUUAUUUUGUGACUGAGUGGCGGACGGGUGAGUAACGCGUGGGUAACCUGCCUUGUACAGGGGGAUAACGGUUGGAAACGGCUGCUAAUACCGCAUAAGCGCACAGCAUCGCAUGAUGCAGUGUGAAAAACUCCGGUGGUAUAAGAUGGACCCGCGUUGGAUUAGCUAGUUGGUGAGGUAACGGCCCACCAAGGCGACGAUCCAUAGCCGACCUGAGAGGGUGACCGGCCACAUUGGGACUGAGACACGGCCCAAACUCCUACGGGAGGCAGCAGUGGGGAAUAUUGCUCAAUGGGCGAAAGCCUGAUGCAGCGACGCCGCGUGAGCGAAGAAGUAUUUCGGUAUGUAAAGCUCUAUCAGCAGGGAAGAUAAUGACGGUACCUGACUAAGAAGCACCGGCUAAAUACGUG